AACCUCAGCCAGGCGUUCAAGAGAUGGAGGGAGCUCCGUGACCAAAGAGGCUUGAAAACCGAUGUCCAACUAGCUUUCUUUCUAUUGGAUCAGUAAGUAACACGGCUAAAUGUUAGCUAGACGAGAGAGGACUGUACUGUACUGGCUGCUAGUUAAUUCCUAGCUGGCCAGCAUCGCAAAUUGCCGCAACCAGGGACAGGGUAGUGAGUGUUGGUCGGCUGACAUCCUUGUUGUCAUUCUAUGGCAGCCCUCGGACAGUGAUACCCCCCCUUCCGUUCUCUUCUCACGGGGGCAGCAUCGACGGACAUCGCCCAGCUAAGUAACACCCAGAAAUCAUGUUGCUCGGUGCUGAUAUCAGAGCUAAACCAGCGAUUUGGCAGCAAAGAGGAGAGUGCAGAGCAAGAUGCCUCAGACAAAAGCAAAGCCUAAAGGAGAAAUUUAUGUGUUAGCUUGUGAUAAGAUAGUAUCAGAGAUGAUUGUUGUUCCAUCAAGCACACUAGCUUUUUUGUGUUUCCAUAGUAACAGCAUGUGUUGUGUGGUCAGUAAGUGUAUUUCGUUCUUUUCCAGGAAAGUUCAGUGACCACAUGGGACAUAUCGACUAGCAGCUACAGAGUAUUAGGCAUCGAAUCAAGGCAAUUAUAGCUUCAAACUGAAAAUACUAAUCAAUCUGAUUUAUUUACCGUACAGUGUUCUUGCAUGUACUUAUAUUUCUUGUUGAACUGUUAUAGUUUGUAUUUGCUUGUAUAUUCAAAAUAAAUCCCCCAAUAUCCCAAAUGCC